rnacentral:rRNA from 1 species
UACGGAGGGGGCUAGCGUUAUUCGGAAUUAUUGGGCGUAAAGGGUGCGUAGGCGGCUUAUUAAGUCAGGGGUGAAAGACGGUGGCUCAACCAUCGCAGUGCCCUUGAUACUGAUGAGCUUGAAUACACUUGAGGUAGGCGGAAUGUGACAAGUAGCGGUGAAAUGCAUAGAUAUGUCACAGAACACCAAUUGCGAAGGCAGCUUACUAAGGUGCAAUUGACGCUGAGGCACGAAAGCGUGGGGAGCAAACAGG